rnacentral:rRNA from 1 species
UACGGAGGGGGCGAGCGUUAUUCGGAAUCAUUGGGCGUAAAGGGCGCGUAGGCGGCUUCGUAAGUCUUGGGUGAAAGCCCUCGGCUCAACCGAGGAAUUGCCUUGGAUACUGCGAAGCUCGAGGCUGGAAGAGGACAGUGGAAUUCCCGGUGUAGCGGUGAAAUGCGUAGAUAUCGGGAGGAACGCCGGAGGCGAAAGCGAGUGACUGGCGCGUUCCUGACGCUGAGGUGCGAAAGCUAGGGGAGCAAACAGG